UGUGUAUCAGAAUUUCUUUAUCCGCUCAUUGAUUGAUGGACAUUUGGGUUUGUUCCAUGAUUUCGCAAUUGCAAAUUCCACUGUAAACAUGCGUGUGCAAGUAUCUUUUUCAUAUAAUGACUUGUUUUCCUCUGGGUAGGUACCCAGAAGUGGGGUUGCAGGAUAAUGGUAGAAUCUCCUU